GCAGUUUGAACAUGUGUUCGGUGGGAUGUUGAUGACUUAAUAAUAUCAGUUUUAUCAAAGGUCAUCGUAUCAGUAGCUCCACAAUCAAAAAUCCACCCUUCCUCUCUAUCCCUAUUAUCACAAGAGGUUUGAUAUGCAGCGGAAAAAUUUAGGGAAUUUCUACAUAAUUGGGGAGUGAUUUUAGUAUUAUGUAGAAGAUUGGGGUGUUUCUGUAGUUUCUGAAAACUUAGGGGGGCAGUUUGCAUAAGAUGGGGUAAGUUCUGCAAUUUAAUAAAACCUCGGGGUAGCUUUCGUAUUUUAUUGGAACUUAGGGGGGCAGAUUUUAAAGGAUGGGGUAUCUUUUGCAAAUAAAGAGAAGAAUGAGGGUUUAGUGUGAAAACACCAAACCCUAUACCUAAUUCCCUUCCUCUCACGUCUCCCCUCCCUUCUCCAUCCGCCUCCCUCUCACAUCUGCUCCCUCCGUUCUGCCCAGCCGGGGACGCCGGAUCCGCGACCACCGCCGCUGCUUCCGCAGCCACCGCCUCUGUUCCGGUAGGCCUUUCACGUCUGCUCCCUCCGUUCUGCCCAACCGGAGAUGUCCGAUUCGUGGCCGCCUCCGCUGCUCCCGCAGCCACCGCCG
rnacentral:lncRNA from 1 species